AGAGUUUGAUCCUGGCUCAGGAUGAACGCUAGCGAUAGGCCUAACACAUGCAAGUCGAGGGGCAGCACAUGACGUAGCAAUACAGAUGGUGGCGACCGGCGCACGGGUGAGUAACACGUAUGCAACCUACCUUCCACAGGAGGAUAACCCGUUGAAAGACGGGCUAAUACUCCAUAACACAGGGGUCCCGCAUGGGAAUAUUUGUUAAAGAUUUUUUCGGUAGAAGAUGGGCAUGCGUUCCAUUAGCUAGUUGGUUGAGGUAACGGCUCACCAGGGCAACGAUGGAUAGGGGAACUGAGAGGUUUAUCCCCCACACUGGUACUGAGACACGGACCAGACUCCUACGGGAGGCAGCAGUGAGGAAUAUUGGUCAAUGGAGGCAACUCUGAACCAGCCACGUCGCGUGAAGGAUGACGGCCCUACGGGUUGUAAACUUCUUUUAUACAGGAAUAAAGUGAGUCACGUGUGAUUUUUUGCAUGUACUGUAUGAAUAAGGAUCGGCUAACUCCGUGCCAGCAGCCGCGGUAAUACGGAGGAUCCAAGCGUUAUCCGGAUUUAUUGGGUUUAAAGGGUGCGUAGGCGGCCAUUUAAGUCAGCGGUGAAAUUUUGCAGCUUAACUGUAACAGUGCCGUUGAUACUGUUUGGCUAGGAUUUGGUUGUAGUGUGCGGAAUGUGUGGUGUAGCGGUGAAAUGCUUAGAUAUCACACAGAACACCGAUUGCGAAGGCAGCACACUAAGUCAUUAUUGACGCUGAGGCACGAAAGUGUGGGGAUCAAACAGGAUUAGAUACCCUGGUAGUCCACACUGUAAACGAUGAUAACUCGCUGUCGGCGAUACACAGUCGGUGGCCAAGCGAAAGCAUUAAGUUAUCCACCUGGGGAGUACGACCGCAAGGUUGAAACUCAAAGGAAUUGACGG
rnacentral:rRNA from 1 species